GGUAAACUUACAACUCAUGUGAUUAAUGUCAUCCAAGAUAGCCCUUUUCAAAAAAAAAAAUUGAGUCAAAAUUGUGACACUCUGAUUCACCCCCCCCUCUCAGAGUGUCUCCACUUCCAACAAAAAGGAGCACAAGAGAAAGAUGGGUUUUGAAAGGAUUUUUCGAUAGAUGUUUUUAAGUUGAUCUCUUCUACAUUUUGAUAAAAGAGGUUUAUUAUCUCAUAAAUUUGCAGGUCAGUAAAUAACUCUUCAAAAUGAGUUCUUUUCCUUCUUUUUAGACUUUAUAAUCAUAAUCUUUCAUUUCCUUAUUUUUGGCUUUACAAUGAUAGUCUUUUAUUUUCCCCCUUUUUUUGGCUUAUUAUGUGAAAUUAGGUUUUGUUUGUUUUAUAUGCAAACAAAAAAUUCUAAACAAAUAAUCUAAUACAUAGAUAAUUUGAGAUUUUCACUGUUUGAGAGAUUGUUGAGAGAGAUCUGAAAUAUUGAAUGAACAGUAUAUACAAUAGCACUCAAAAAAUAUUUUAUCAAUUCAUAAAUAUACUAAAUUUUUUCACCAUUAAAGAAUCAUGUAAUCAUAAGAAAUGAUAACAAAUUUUAAAUCUAAAUUUAAUUUUAUAUUAGAUCUCACCAAUAAUCUAUCUUUAUGUACAUUUCAACCAUUGUAUUCUCCAGCUCAUCCUUGUUUCUACUCAUCGUGCUUCCAGAUCCUUCAUGCAAUCAUUUGACAAGGUUUAGCAGCAGAAAAUAAAUGGAGAACAAAGAAGGACCAAGAAAGAAAAAGGAUGCAAGAAGAUCGUGAUUCUGUAUACUGCAAAAGACUUAAAAGCUGGGAAAACUAAUUGGAAAAAGAAAAGGAUGCAAGAAGAUCGUGAUUCUGUAUACUGCAAAAGACUCAAAAGCUGGGAAAACUAAUUGGAUGAUGCAUCAAUACCAUCUUGGUACUGAGAAGGCUGAAAAGGAAGGCGCGUUCCUUGUGUCAAAAGUAUAACCCCACUUCCUUCUCGUCUUCAUCUGUACCGAGAUGAUACUCAUGCAUCACCCAGUUAGUUUUCUCUGUAUAUAAAAGCAUUGAGAGCAUGUGUGCUUCCUGACCAUCGUUGAAGAGGAUGGGUGUUUCCAUUGGAUCAAGAUCAAAUAAGUUGGAUGACAAGAUUUCUGCAAAGAAAGAAAAAGUGGACAGAAAGAAGAAGUGAAGAGAACCUUGGAAUUAUUUCAUCUACAUCUUGAUAAAGGAGGUUAAUUAUAUAUAGACCAAGAAACAACCGUCAUUCUUUAUAUUAGGUUUUUAAGAGAGAACAACAAUAAUAAUAUGUGUAGGAAAAAUGUCAUUAGCCUUUCUAAAUGCAUAACAACUCUAAUGUUGUAUUAAGGGUUCUACAGAUGCUCCAUUGCAAGACACUACUACUUUUAGUUUGUGAAAAGCCUUCCGAAGAAUUUAUGUUGUUGUAUAUUGAUGAGAGUGCCCACGUUAAAUUGAAACCUCUUUGAAAACAAUAUAAUGGAACCUGAGGAAUUCCCCCUUCUAAAAAUAAAUCUAUUACCAUCAUAAAUUGAUUAUGUAAGUGCAUUUGUAAGUUGAAACAUCAAUAUUCAGUUACAAGUAAGGAAUGACGUCUUGAAUGCAAUCAACUUGCACUUUCUGAAUAUUUCUUCAAGAACUCAUGGAGUAAUGCCAGUACAGUUCUUAGAUGGAAGUAAUGUGAGUACAGUUCUUAGAUGGAAGUAAUGUGAUUUGAAGAUACUGAGGCCUGUUAGUGUUGGUCAUAUCCCUGCAUGCAUAUUUGAUAUGCAUUAGGUAAUAGACACAAUAAAGAUGUAUAUCAGAUGAUUGAAAAUUUUGUGGUAUGUCUAGAAAUGACUGAGGAGGGGCUAUAUACCCGAUUUGUAUGUAUGUUUACCCACUGUAUUCAUGAUUUUAAUACAUAGUCUCAACAACAUUCACUCUUUAGCUAUCAAUUCAUUUUCUCACAGCUCUAUUGAUAUUCAUGUCUCUCUUUUUACUAAAGCAUGUAUUGUAAUAAUGUGAUGCUGCCAAAAAGGUUGCCCACUUGAAAAUGCUCUUGGACCAUUUGGGAAAUGCCCCUUGUAUGGUGGCAUGGCAUGAGUGUUGUUAGAUUAUUCUACCUCCCAUGACCGCUCUCUGUCUCGUGACCACUCUCUACCUCGGGGCCGAUGGUGCGGUUGCAACUCCUCUGCUCCUCGCUCACAACUCCCAUGGGCACAGUUUUCUCACCACUAGUCCUGUAGUGGUAGUGACUUCAAUCAGUGUUGCUCAGCCUCUACGCCAUGUCGUGGAUCUGCUUCCGGGUGGGGUACAAGGGGUGUUGAUUUUCUUGCUGCUGGUGGUUCUAGUUGGUCGAAUACCAGCAGAGAUUUUACCUGGCU